UCCAUCUAUGCACUACGUGUGACGCCCCUAAAAUAGGUAUACAUCACCCAUCUCGAGUCGCCAAAUACAUGGUACAAAAUACAAAUACAAACUUAAUUAUACAACCGUCAUGUAAUAUACGACAAAACAUAGCUGAGAGUUUAAACAGAAAUAUUGCCCUCUAGACAAUAUCCACUCUCAAAUAGAGUCCUCAUUACAUUUAUUAUCACACUAUUUUAUAGAAUAGUGAGGACUACUAAUACACCAUCUCAGACC
rnacentral:lncRNA from 1 species